rnacentral:lncRNA from 10 species
CUGCGUGUACACCUGUGCGGCGAUCACAUCCAUUACGCCAAAGGGUAUUUCUAGCACCCCAUAAGACCCCAAUCAUAUCCCAGCACGAGACUCCAGGGAUCACUGACCUGCUUUCUAUCACUGUUGCUCAGUUUUACCUUUUUAAAAAGUUCAAAUCAAUGGGAUGGUAUAGUAAGUAUAAACUCAGUAAGUCUGGCUUCCUUCACUCAGCAAGAGAGACCCUUUCAUGUUUCCAAGCACCGCCGCUGCCGCGCAUUACACUGCGUGGAGACGCCACGGUCCACGUAUCCCUUCACCUGCUGACAGGCACCUGAGUUGUUCCUGCUCUCAGACUGUUAGAAUAAGGCUCUACAAACAUUCCUGUACAAGUCUUCAUGAGACCACAUUUUCUCUUGGGUUUCUCUUAGAUUAAAUACCGAGGAAUGGAACUGCAGGGUCACACCGGGCCAAGAUAACUAUGAGAGGAAUGUAGUUUAUAGUUAAACUUCAAGGCAAGGAAAAAUGACACCCGUCCUUGUUUGGAGAUUAAGACUGGCAUUGCUACAGGGGCCUGAACUUUGCUAAAGAACAGGCACGGGUAAACCAUGACCUGUCACUGCUUACUUAGCUUGCUCUUCUACAGUGCCUGCUACCCGGAGUCACGUAACCAGACGUUGUCAGAUUCGGAACUUCCCUAACGGCUCCUACAGACAUCACUGCUGUGAAACCUAAAAAACUGGUCUUUGGGAUAUUUUUCAGAUUUAGCAUUUCAGCAGAUCAAGAGAUGCCACCUGGACUUGUGACCCCAUCUCCCAGGAACUGACUCAGCUGCACGGAGACAGUCCUGACACCCCUAUCAUUGCAUCCCCAACACAACCAACCAGCAUUCACCACUCCCUAGGCCGCUGCCCGCCAAAACACCCUCAAGCCCUCGCCUCCUAAUUCUCAGGGAGACAGAUGUGAGAGUUAUCUCGCGUCCACCUCCCUCGGCUGGCUCUGCAAUCAUUAAACUCCCUCUCUGCUGCCACACCUGCCGUUCUCAGUGCAUUGGCUUUCUGGGCAGCAAGAAGAACCCUGUUGGGCGAUUACAGUCUUAAUUUGCAUUCCCCUAAUAACUAACAAUGUUGACCAUCUUUUCAUGUCCUUAUUUACCACCUAUAUAUCUUCUCUUGUAAAGUAUCUGUUAAAAGCAGGCCGGGUACAGUGGCUCACACCUGUAAUCCCAGUGCUUUGGGAGGCCAAGGCAGGCAGAUCACCUGAGGUCAGGAGUUUGAGACUAGCCUGGCCAACAUGGUGAAACCUGUCUCUAUUAAAAUACAAAAAUUAGCCGGGUGUGGUGGUGCACGCCUGGAACCCCAGCUACUCAGGAGGCUGAGGCUGGAGGAUUGCUUGAACCUGGGAGGCGGAGGUUGCAGUGAGCCAAGAUCAUGCCACUAUACUCCAGCCUGGGCGACAGAGCAAGAUUCCAUCUCCAAAAAAAUAAAUAAAUAAUAAAGUAUCUGUUAAAAGU